AGAGUUUGAUCAUGGCUCAGAACGAACGCUGGCGGCGUGGAUAAGACAUGCAAGUCGAACGGGACUUUUUUCUGUAGCAAUACAGGAAAAAGUCUAGUGGCGAACGGGUGCGUAACACGUGAGCAACCUGCCGUGAAGUGGGGGAUAGCUCGCCGAAAGGCGAAUUAAUACCGCAUGUGGCCAAGGAAGACAUCUUCCUGACGCCAAAGCCGGGGCAACCUGGCGCUUCUCGAGGGGCUCGCGGCCUAUCAGCUUGUUGGUGAGGUAACGGCUCACCAAGGCUAUGACGGGUAGCUGGUCUGAGAGGACGACCAGCCACACUGGAACUGAGAUACGGUCCAGACACCUACGGGUGGCAGCAGUCGAGAAUUUUUCACAAUGGGGGAAACCCUGAUGGAGCGACGCCGCGUGGAGGAUGAAGGUUUUCGGAUUGUAAACUCCUGUCAUUAGAGAACAAGGCACACGGUUUAACUGGCCGUGUGUUGAUAGUAUCUGAAGAGGAAGAGACGGCUAACUCUGUGCCAGCAGCCGCGGUAAUACAGAGGUCUCAAGCGUUGUUCGGAUUCAUUGGGCGUAAAGGGUGCGUAGGUGGCGAUGUAAGUCGGGUGUGAAAUCUCCAAGCUUAACUUGGAAACUGCACUCGAUACUGCGUCGCUCGAGGACUGUAGAGGGCAUUGGAAUUCACGGUGUAGCAGUGAAAUGCGUAGAUAUCGUGAGGAAGACCAGUGGCGAAGGCGAAUGCCUGGGCAGUUCCUGACACUGAGGCACGAAGGCCAGGGGAGCAAACGGGAUUAGAUACCCCGGUAGUCCUGGCAGUAAACGGUGCACGUUUGGUGUGGGAGGAUUCGACCCCUUCCGUGCCGGAGCUAACGCGUUAAACGUGCCGCCUGGGGAGUACGGUCGCAAGAUUAAAACUCAAAGAAAUUGACGGGGACCCGCACAAGCGGUGGAGUAUGUGGCUUAAUUCGAUGCAACGCGAAGAACCUUACCAGCCCUUGACAUGGGCAGGACCGGUCCAGAGAUGGACUUUUCCCGCAAGGGACCUGCCG
rnacentral:rRNA from 1 species